rnacentral:rRNA from 1 species
CCUACGGGUGGCAGCAGUGAGGAAUAUUGGUCAAUGGCCGAGAGGCUGAACCAGCCAAGUCGCGUGAGGGAAGACGGCCCUACGGGUUGUAAACCUCUUUUGUCGGGGAGCAAAGCGAACCACGUGUGGUUCAUUGAGAGUACCCGAAGAAAAAGCAUCGGCUAACUCCGUGCCAGCAGCCGCGGUAAUACGGAGGAUGCGAGCGUUAUCCGGAUUUAUUGGGUUUAAAGGGUGCGCAGGCGGAGGUGCAAGUCAGCGGUCAAAUUGCGGGGCUCAACCCCGUACUGCCGUUGAAACUGGUUUUCUUGAGUGAGUGAGAAGUAUGCGGAAUGCGUGGUGUAGCGGUGAAAUACAUAGAUAUCACGCAGAACUCCGAUUGCGAAGGCAGCAUACCGGCGCUCAACUGACGCUCAUGCACGAAAGUGUGGGUAUCGAACAGGAUUAGAUACCCCUGUAGUC